UACGGAGGGGGCUAGCGUUGUUCGGAAUUACUGGGCGUAAAGCGCGCGUAGGCGGAUCUGCAAGUCGGGGGUGAAAUCCCGAGGCUCAACCUCGGAACUGCCUUCGAUACUGACGGGUCUCGAGUCCGGGAGAGGUGAGUGGAAUUCCUAGUGUAGAGGUGAAAAUUUCGUAGAUAUUAGGAAGAACACCAGUGGCGAAGGCGGCUCACUGGCCCGGUACUGACGCUGAGGCGGCGAAAAGCGUGGGGGAGCAAAC
rnacentral:rRNA from 1 species